CCCUUGGUGGUGUAGUUGGUUAUCGCGUCAGACUGUAAUUGUUCUUCCCUCACGGGAAUCACCAUAAUCUGAAUGUCACCGGUUCGAUUCCGGUCCGAGGGA
rfam:Microdochium bolleyi strain J235TASD1 unplaced genomic scaffold Micbo1qcscaffold_10, whole genome shotgun sequence.